UACGGAGGGUGCAAGCGUUAUCCGGAUUCACUGGGUUUAAAGGGUGCGUAGGCGGGCAGGUAAGUCAGUGGUGAAAUCUCCGAGCUUAACUCGGAAACUGCCAUUGAUACUAUUUGUCUUGAAUAUUGUGGAGGUAAGCGGAAUAUGUCAUGUAGCGGUGAAAUGCUUAGAUAUGACAUAGAACACCAAUUGCGAAGGCAGCUCGCUACACGAAUAUUGACUCUGAGGCACGAAAGCGUGGGGAUCAAACAGG
rnacentral:rRNA from 1 species